rnacentral:rRNA from 1 species
GAUGAACGCUGGCGGCGUGCCUAAUACAUGCAAGUCGAGCGAACAGACGAGGAGCUUGCUCCUCUGACGUUAGCGGCGGACGGGUGAGUAACACGUGGAUAACCUACUUAUAAUACUGGGAUAACUUCGGGAAACCGGAGCUACUACCGGAUAAUAUAUUGAACCGCAUGGUUCAAUAGUGAAAGACGCCUUUGCUGUUACUUUUAGAUGAUUCCGGGCCGCAUUAGCUAGUUGGUAAGGUAACGGCUUACCAAGGCAACGAUGCGCAGCCGACCUGAGAGGGUGAUCGGCCACACUGGAACUGAGACACGGUCCAGACUCCUACGGGAGGCAGCAGUAGGGAAUCUUCCGCAAUGGGCGAAAGCCUGACGGAGCAACGCCGCGUGAGUGAUGAAGGUCUUCGGAUCGUAAAACUCUGUUAUUAGGGAAGAACAAAUGUGUAAGUAACUAUGCACGUCUUGACGGUACCUAAUCAGAAAGCCACGGCUAACUACGUG